AUGGCGAUUAGCAGCCGCAACACGGUCACCCUCCGCAGCUCCGACGGCGAGGAGUUCGUUGUCCAAGCGGACACGAUCGCGGCGGCGUCGGCGCUGAUCAAGCAACUGCGCCGCCAGCGUGAUCCCGCUACCCCAGGUGACCGGCCGCAUCCUCGCCCGCGUCGUCGACUACUGCAAUCGCCAUUACGCCGACGCCGACGCGGCCGCGUACGCGUACGCCAGUCCCUUCCCGUUGGUCGACCCCGACCUGGAGCGCUUCGACACCGACUUCGUCAGCGGCAUCGACCAGGACACGCUCUUCAUGCUCCUCCUCGCCGCCAAAGACCUCGACGUAGAGGGGCUCCUGAACCUGGCGUGCAAGACGGUGGCCGACCAGAUGAGGGGCUAGACGGUCGAGGGCAUGCGCGCACACUUCGGCAUCGUCAAUGA
rnacentral:rRNA from 1 species